rnacentral:rRNA from 1 species
CCUACGGGUGGCAGCAGUGAGGAAUAUUGGUCAAUGGGCGGGAGCCUGAACCAGCCAAGUCGCGUGAGGGAAGACGGUCCUAUGGAUUGUAAACCUCUUUUGGCGGGGAGCAAUGCCGGGCACGUGUGCCCGUAGGGAGAGUACCUGCAGAAUAAGCAUCGGCUAACUCCGUGCCAGCAGCCGCGGUAAUACGGAGGAUGCGAGCGUUAUCCGGCUUUAUUGGGUUUAAAGGGUGCGUGGGCGGAUUUUUAAGUCAGCGGUAAAAUGUCCGGGCUCAACCCGGGCCGGCCGUUGAAACUGGCGAUCUUGAGUGGGCGAGAGGUAUGCGGAAUGCGUGGUGUAGCGGUGAAAUGCAUAGAUAUCACGCAGAACUCCGAUUGCGAAGGCAGCAUACCGGCGCCCGACUGACGCUGAGGCACGAAAGCGUGGGGAUCGAACAGGAUUAGAUACCCGUGUAGUC